AUGUAGUCAUUUUAACUGACAGACGGAGGAGUUUCGUUGUCUGGUUUACAUAGGGAGUGAAAUGCUAGCACACAGCUGGGAACUAAAUCAGCAAAACAGGUGUGUUCAGACAGCAAAUCAAAUGACACACACACACCAACAUGCAGUCACUCUCGAACACAGGCACGCACGCACGCACACACGCACGCAUGCAAAAGUUCCACAGGCGGGAUUUCUCCCCAACAACUCCUCUUCUUUAGUAUGCACUCGCGAUGGUCGUCAAGAGGGAAUGAUUCUCACACUAAUGAAGGACGGGCUGCCGGCGGAAUGUAAAGCAGGAUUUAACCCAUCUUCAAUGUCACAGGCGCUCCCCCGGGCACCGGGAGACAACAGCGCACCGCCGCCCCGACCGGCCCUGCCCGCCCCUGCCCGCCGUUUCAAUCAAGCCCACGGCCUUUCGUCUCCGCGUACUCAAACCCCUCGUCUUGACAGCGCGGCUCUGAUAGACCGGCGCUUCAAAGUGAGAGAAGGCCAGCUGAGACAAGUGUGUAAAGAUCGAAGAAUGAAGCAAACAAAAAGAAUAAUUGUGCUCUUCUACUGGAAUAAAGUUUUUAUUAUUGUCAUCAUCCGUAAUUUUAUUAUAAUAUUUUUUACAGUUUAUUUUUCUUAUUUUAAAUGGAUGGUAUAUUCACAAACAUUUGAAUGAAACAAAACAGACAAAUUAACAAACAAACAAACAAACGUAAAAGGUUAGAAUCACAGUGAUGGCGAAGGUUUAGAGAAUAUCUCAGCUCCAUAUGAGCUAACACACACACACACACACACACACACACCCACACAUGCACACACGCACGCACACACACACAUAUAGUAAAAAGAUCUCUUUCUGUUUUCGUUGAAAAACCUUGUCAUCAGAUGAUAAAAUCUUUCCCCGCUCAAAUGUCCAACUCUUAUGUCAGACUCAACAAAACAAGGAACGGUGCACACUUGCACACGUGCAUCAAGUUGAAGAGUGUGUCCUUUCCCCUUUACAUCUGUCAAAAAAACCAUCAUUCCAGAACACAUUUCAGACGGACCAUUCAGACUCUCCUUGUACUUUCUGCAGCGCAGAAUUCUAAGUGAGUUUGCUUGUUCUCCUCAUUCUUUUCUUACAGAUUCAGGAUUUACGUCUGAGAUGUGACUCCGAUCUAGUGCCCAAUCCUGGCCCAUGGCCCCCAUAGUUGUCCAGGUCAGACAGACAUGUCUUUAAGCGUCUCCCGCCCCCUGCCUGCCCUGUGUAGGCUUGAGUACGGCCUACUCUGAAAUCCUAUUGCCCCAAAAGAGGACAGAGCAGCUAUAGCUGCUGUACAUGAGAUGACAGGAGUGCUAUGUUUUAACAUAGAUACAUAUAGUGUUGUAAGUGCUCAAAUAUAAUUUGUGACUAAUGAUGAAAUACCCUCGCAAUCCCACCCACAGUCUUCAGGGGUAAAAAAUAGGGGGGGGGGGGGAGUGAAGAGAUCACAUCUACAGGGACAUCAGAGAUAAAUGCAGCUCACUGAUUGGAUGGAAUGGUAAGAUGACUGGCUUUCAGAAGCUCUGUAUUUUGAUCUUUUUUUUUUUAGGUUCACCCAUGUUUUGCCCAGAAGUUGACAGUUCUUUCAAGGGAACACGGUGAGCCUCUUUUAGAUCCUUUUGUCAGACCUUACCUCAUCCGUAAUGUACAGAAC
rnacentral:lncRNA from 1 species